rnacentral:lncRNA from 1 species
GGAGAAAGAGUCUCCAUUACCUGCAGGGCCAGUCAGAGCCUGCACUACACAGAUGGAAAUCACUACCUAUCCUGGUACCAGGAAAGACCAGGCAGACCUUCAAAGCCCUUAUUUACCAUGCUUCAGUCAGGACUGAUGGAGUCCCCACCAGUUUCUUUAACAGUGAAUCUGCAACAGAAUUCACCCUCACUAUUGAAGACCUUCAACCUGAGGACUUUGCACUUUAUCAC